rnacentral:rRNA from 2 species
UGGCGGGUGCCUAUACAUGCAGUCGAGCGGACAGAUGGGAGCUUGCUCCCUGAUGUUAGCGGCGGACGGGUGAGUAACACGUGGGUAACCUGCCUGUAAGACUGGGAUAACUCCGGGAAACCGGGGCUAAUACCGGAUGGUUGUUUGAACCGCAUGGUUCAAACAUAAAAGGUGGCUUCGGCUACCACUUACAGAUGGACCCGCGGCGCAUUAGCUAGUUGGUGAGGUAACGGCUCACCAAGGCAACGAUGCGUAGCCGACCUGAGAGGGUGAUCGGCCACACUGGGACUGAGACACGGCCCAGACUCCUACGGGAGGCAGCAGUAGGGAAUCUUCCGCAAUGGACGAAAGUCUGACGGAGCAACGCCGCGUGAGUGAUGAAGGUUUUCGGAUCGUAAAGCUCUGUUGUUAGGGAAGAACAAGUACCGUUCGAAUAGGGCGGUACCUUGACGGUACCUAACCAGAAAGCCACGGCUAACUACGUGCCAGCAGCCGCGGUAAUACGUAGGUGGCAAGCGUUGUCCGGAAUUAUUGGGCGUAAAGGGCUCGCAGGCGGUUUCUUAAGUCUGAUGUGAAAGCCCCCGGCUCAACCGGGGAGGGUCAUUGGAAACUGGGGAACUUGAGUGCAGAAGAGGAGAGUGGAAUUCCACGUGUAGCGGUGAAAUGCGUAGAGAUGUGGAGGAACACCAGUGGCGAAGGCGACUCUCUGGUCUGUAACUGACGCUGAGGAGCGAAAGCGUGGGGAGCGAACAGGAUUAGAUACCCUGGUAGUCCACGCCGUAAACGAUGAGUGCUAAGUGUUAGGGGGUUUCCGCCCCUUAGUGCUGCAGCUAACGCAUUAAGCACUCCGCCUGGGGAGUACGGUCGCAAGACUGAAACUCAAAGGAAUUGACGGGGGCCCGCACAAGCGGUGGAGCAUGUGGUUUAAUUUCGAAGCACGCGAGGACCUUACCAGGUCUUGACUCCUCUGACAUCCUAAAGGAUAGACGUCCCCGUCGGGGCAGAGUG